rnacentral:lncRNA from 1 species
GGGGGCUAGGAUGAAAUUUGAAAAAAAAUAGGCAGGACAGGAGUUGUGAGUAAAAAAAAAGACAGGAUGAGACAAUUGCCAAAAAAAAAAGUCAGGAUAAACUAAAAAAAAAAAAGCAGGACCAAACAGAGUGAAAAAUAAAAAGGCAGGACAGAGAUUACAGCUAAAAAAAAAAUGCAGGACAAAAAUUUUUCAUCCUAGCCCCCCCCC